rnacentral:rRNA from 1 species
UGGCGGACGGGUGAGUAAUGUCUGGGAAACUGCCUGAUGGAGGGGGAUAACUACUGGAAACGGUAGCUAAUACCGCAUAACGUCGCAAGACCAAAGAGGGGGACCUUCGGGCCUCUUGCCAUCGGAUGUGCCCAGAUGGGAUUAGCUAGUAGGUGGGGUAAAGGCUCACCUAGGCGACGAUCCCUAGCUGGUCUGAGAGGAUGACCAGCCACACUGGAACUGAGACACGGUCCAAACUCCUACGGGAGGCAGCAUG